AUGUUGUCUUACAAAAUAGCGUCUGCCGUAUCACACAUUUAAUGCCUUCGCUUAGGUGUAUGGAUACAUUUCUGUGGACCAAUCAGAUUCUUUGAAAUAUGACCUCAUCGCCUCUUAGCCAAUCACCAUUUAGAUGACAUAAAGAGUUACUGCCCGAUAUAAGGCUAUCCCGAGAAACGUUCCGCAUUUCUUUCCUUGCUUUCAGUCAAUGUAUGUACCUGCUUUCUCUUCGACCACCGUCUAUCAUUAAGAUUUUUGAUUCUUCGCUGCUUUGAAUGGGUCAGCCACAAAACAGCGCACCAGAGGUAAGUAACGUUUUGAAAAUAUACUGCUUUUAGAAUUUUAAUCUUUAAAAAUUGUUGAAUUUGCAAUGUGUGCUUGAUUUGCCUUUACUUUUUCAGAUGAAAAACCUAUUUGAGAACGAACAUAUGCCCUCGAAUGAUAAAGUGUUGAGCCAUGGAGACCUUGUUCGCACCCAAGAUAUUCCAAGAGAAUCAGACUCUUGGGAAUUUGUGCCAAAAGAUAAUCAGAAGAAACAACGCAUUUCGAGAAAAAAGACCUUUUUACUGAAGACGCUAUUUCAGAGUAGUUCACUCACAUGGGAAACAAUGUUUUUGUGGGACCCAGCAUUUACAAGGGAAAAGUGAUUGUGCACAUGCGAGAGUAUGCCAAGUAUGAUAAAGCUUACUAUCUGACAAGACGAGGAGGGAAUUUUGAACCAUGGUGUUUGAAUGUUCUCGCAACCAACAUGACAGUAGACGAACAAGACCUACUGACACUCAAUCUGAAGUUGCCCAAGAACUUUGUGGUCACGUAUAGGGAUUCCCACUUCACUCUGAAACAAUUUUCUGCUCAAGGAGAUGAAAAAAAGUAGCCUCAGCAUUACAACUACGCAGUGGGAAAAACUGAUGGCCAACUUUAGCCGUAUGAGCGACAUUGUCACCAACCUCGUUUAUCAAAACAUGAACUUUUGUGAAGCCUACGAAAGCAUAUCCUGUUAAGGAGGAAAAUAUGCCCCAAUCCUUUGACAUUUCUAUAGGAUGAGCACGCAUCCAAACCAUUGUAAAGACGUCGCUUGAAGAACUUCUUAACCAACAUGAACUAAAAUACCCCUAGCUCAUAGACUGUGAAUAACUUGUUCAUAAAACUUAAACUGUGAAUGCCAUUGCUCUGAGAUUCACUGCUGUUGACAUUCCCAGACAAUUUUGCGGAAAGAUUUUGGGUGAAGAACCCCAUUUAAUGUUACUGAAACCUGCUCACUACAUUACCAAGGACUUUUUAAAAUCUGUGUGUUUAAACCAUGUACUCGACGAAGUAAGAAAUACAUUUUGUACUACGAAUGGCGUCUUAGGUAUUGAAUACUAUGAAUAUUUGUAAAAUAAUUAGGAUGCUCAAUAAAUGUUAUUUUAUUUUA